GGAGGUAGCCUUGUUGAGUGAGUGAAGAUUAAUGUCGCGCUUUUCCCGUGCACGCACCUGCCUUGGGACUAGACUCCACCGGAGCUGCCUCACAUUUGAACUGGAAAACCUUGCGCGUGUCGGUGUAUCUGGAUUAACGGAAUGGAUUAGAGAUCUAAGAACGCCCCUUUCCCAUGUCGGAGGAGAUGAAGAAGCAGCACCCUCCUCUUCCUCACCAGGAUGUCCAGAGAGAGAUCAGAGAGGGGGAGUAACUGGGGAUACACCAUGAUGGAGCCCUGAUACAGAGGACAGAGCACAGUUAAAUGGAGGAGCGGGACAGAAGCCGCUCCCCGUCCCGCAGGACAAGUCGGGUGGAGCAGGUGGUGGGGCGAUGGCUACGACGCUCCAGGGAU